AGCUCCGGAAUCUGACGCUAAACCACUGACCAAAACAAACGCCGUGUUUAGGAGUCGGUAUUGCUUGCCACUCGUCUUUGUAGCCCUUUUUGUGUAUCGAACAUGAACUUGGAAACUCUGUUGCUGGUACAUUGAGUCUUCUCAUUAUGGACAAUUCAUCUUUCUAUGAGGCGUUGUCGUCUGAACUGGCUUCCGAAAGUACUAUGCUGGAGUUCAAGCUCCAGAAGAUCGACCUGGGCAGGUCUCAGCAUAGUUUGACGGAGCGACCUCCAUACAGAAACCAACACCACACUCAGAAGGCAUUUGAGACUAUGAAUAUUUUGAGGAAGCAGAACCUCCUCUGUGACGUAACUCUCGUGGCUGGUGCCACAGAGGUGGCUGCCCACAAGACAGUGCUGGCGUCCUGCAGCCCCUACUUCUAUGCCAUGUUUACGGGCUUCACUGAGAGUCGAGCCAACAAGAUCACACUUCAGGGUCUGGACGGGACUGCACUUGCUCUGCUCAUCGAUUAUGUCUACUCAGCUGAGAUACAGGUUACUGAGGAGAAUGUGCAGACCCUGCUACCUGCUGCUAACCUGCUUCAGUUGAGCGACGUCCAAGAAGCCUGCUGUGAGUUUCUGCAGGCUCAGCUACACCCAUCAAACUGCCUUGGCAUACGGGCAUUUGCGGAUCUCCAUGGGUGCCUUGACCUGCUGUCACACUGCGAUUCCUAUAUUGAGCAGCACUUUGUGGAAGUGACUGAGAAUGAAGAAUUUCUUGCCCUUCCUGCGAAUCAGGUGGCACAUCUCAUUUCUAGUGACAGACUGUCAGUUCCUUCAGAAGAGCAGGUAUUUGAAGCUGUGAUGAACUGGGUGAACCAGGACUUGGCCAACCGCGAGUCGCAGCUGGGCUGCCUGAUGGAGCACGUGCGACUGCCACUGCUGUCUCAGGAGUAUCUGGUACAGCGUGUAGAGGAGGAGCCCUUACUAAAGGGAAACCUGCCCUGCAAGGACUUUCUCAUUGAGGCCAUGAAAUACCAUCUGCUGCGUGCUGAUCAGAAAGCCCUCUACGCUACACCACGGACCAAGCCUCGAACACCUGUCGGACGCCCUAAGAUGCUGCUUGUGGUGGGUGGCCAGGCUCCCAAAGCCAUUCGCAGUGUGGAGUGCCUGGACCUGCAGCGUGAGCGCUGGCUUCAGCUGGCUGAGCUCCCCAGCCGCCGGUGCCGUGCAGGCCUAGCCCUUCUUGAUGGCCGUGUCUUCACAGUCGGUGGCUUCAAUGGCUCACUACGUGUGCGCACAGUCGACAUCUAUGACCCCGUGAGGGAUCAGUGGAGCCAAGCAGCUAGCAUGGAAGCUCGGAGAAGUACAUUAGGUGUGGCAGUUCUAAACAACCAGAUCUACGCUGUUGGCGGCUUCGAUGGUUCUACAGGACUGAACAGUGCUGAAAGAUAUGACCCACAUACAGAAGAAUGGACGGCAAUUGCGUCUAUGAGUACUCGUCGAAGCAGUGUUGGAGUUGGGGUUUUGAAUGGCCUCCUAUAUGCUGUCGGUGGAUAUGACGGGGCAUCACGGCAGUGCCUAAGUUCAGUGGAGCGCUAUGAUCCUAAGGAAGAAGAGUGGUCCCUUGUAGCCGAUAUGUCUGCAAGGCGCAGUGGUGCUGGUGUUGGAGUUCUGGACGGAGUGCUUUAUGCCGUGGGAGGACAUGAUGGGCCCCUGGUGCGCAAAAGUGUUGAGUGUUAUCAUCCUGACACCAAUUCGUGGUCCCAUGUGCCAGACAUGGCCCUGGCCAGGCGAAAUGCAGGUGUCGUGGCAAUGGAUGGCCUACUCUACGUUGUUGGUGGCGAUGAUGGAUCAUCAAACCUUUCAUCUGUUGAAGUCUACAAUCCAAAGAACAAAUCCUGGAACAUCUUGAGCACAUUCAUGACCAUUGGUCGUAGCUAUGCUGGAGUGACAAUCAUUGACAGGCCACUUUAAAUUAGACUUUUUGAUAAAUUGCCCCCUGAAGUUGUGGUUAGACCACAGGAGGUAUCCAGCUUGGGCUGAAAAAAAGGCUACCCUAAACAAGCCUUUCUUUCCAUGUAGUCCCAAUGAUGAGUGGCCAAGCCUCCUAAGCAAGGACUGUUGUGUGGUGUGACUUACCUUUAUCCCAGCAGCACAGAAAGUGAAUGCAUAGGAAAGUAUGUACAUUUAUUAGGCAUGUAUCAGAAAGCAUUCUCACUUGCUUGGUAUGAUAAUAGUCUUUCAAAACACUUUUCUAUGUGCACCCGUCAGGGUCUAGCUAAAGUCAAAUAUUUAUCAAGUUAUGUACUGCAUUUCAUGCAUUCCAGACGGUCAUUUGUGAAACUUUAUGAAUGUAGGCUGGCUGUGCAAGUUCACACAAUCUGUCUUGAUGGGCUGCAGGAGUUUUGUAAUUAUGUUGUGCAGGAGGCAGCAGUGUGAACACACUGUGUUGAACAAAUGAGCAGUUCAAAAAAUAACAAAGAAUGGCAAUUUUAUUUCCUUUAUAGCUAAGUUUAAAGUGAUGUGCAAUUAAAUCUGGAUGAAUGCAUUGGCUUUGCCAGGUGCUAAAUGAGAAUAGGGUAAAUGGGGCACCAAUAUGUAAAAACGCACUUUAUUUCUAUUCAAGAUCAUCUUCAGUUGCCAUUUUUGCUUUGUAAAUGAGUACCACGGGAUAUAUUCUGGAAUGUGAGAGCUGCUUGGCUAGUAUCAGCAAGUGAGGGUGACAAUGCCACGCCUGUCCAUUUGUUGCUUGAAUGCCGAUCAAGUGGCCCCCUUUCAUAUUGGACCAUAUUUCCCUGUACUUUCAUCGUACUGCACUUGAUCCCUUGCUGUGAUCUUAACUUCAAGAGAACACUCCUACAAAUACAAAGGGUGACUGUCAAAUCGCCUAAGGAAAAGCAUUGCUUUUGGUUCGACAAACAGCGAGACUUGGAUUUUAAUGUGCAUUAUUUUUUCUCUUAAAGACAUUGUAUAGAGGCACUAGGACAUUGUCCUAUAGUGCUCAGUGUGCUAACAGAUAUGAAUACAGAGGUAUAGCACAAACUGUAAGCUGUUUACAUAGCAUGUGCUAAGGCUUAUGUAUUUUAUCUCACAUAGGUUGCUUCGUUACACCACGUUUGAUUAUCUGUAUUAAACUUUGCUUCAGAUGAGCGAAAAUAAUAUUUCAAAUUUACCUACAUUGAUUGGUUAGCAGUGUUAAAACUGACACAGCAUGGAGGCCAGCUCAUAUUACUUAUAAGAUGCAGCACUAUCUUGCAGAGGUCUGCCAGCAAGUCUGUAAAGUUGGCCCUGUGCUUUCAUGUGUAAAGAAAAUUGUAUGUGUGUAUAUAUAUAUACGUAUAUAUAUAUAAAAGUAUGUAUAUGGUUUGAUAUAAAGAUGGUUGCUGGUUGAAUGUGUGUACUAUUCCCUUUUUCUCAUAGCUGUUGGGAGAAUUAAAUGGGGCAUGUACUGUAAUUGGUACAAAUUCUUCAACCAAUGUUUCGCAUCCAUUUCCUUUACAUAUCUUAGCUUCAGCACUUAGCCUCCCGAGCCAGAAUCACUCUAUUUCUAGGUAGUGGGAAAAAGAAAUUGAGAAUUCUUGUUUUUGUUU
rnacentral:misc_RNA from 1 species